rnacentral:lncRNA from 1 species
UAAGAGAAUCAUAGUGUUCACCUCAAAAUACAACCCAUAAUUCCCCAAACAAAAAUAUGGAUCUUCCUCUUCUCCUCAUAUCCUCAUCCAACUUUGCUCUACCUGCCAUACUCUUCACCCUUCUCUUCUUUCUUUAUGCUCUCUUCGCUUCAUUUAUCCACGGUCGUCGUAACAGACUACCGCCCCAACCCGACGGUGCUUGGCCGGUCAUCGGCCACCUCCCUCUACUCACUGGAAAAGAACUCCUUCACAAUACCUUGGGGAAAU